AAAUUUUUAGUGGCUCUUUAAAAUCUGGACAAUUUUGUACAUUGUAACUUUUGGCUCUUCCGUCAAAAAAGGUUGCCGACCCCUGACCUACACACAUCCGAUUUUGAGAAGUUUUGUGAAAACAAAAAAAUGUUUAACAUCGAAGACAUGCCGAUUGUUACUCGUAAGGGAGUGUACCCGUGCGAGUACACGAAUAGCUGGGAGAAAUUGGAAGAUGAAAUUUUACCAAAGAAAGAACUAUUUUACAGCACGUAUAUUAUUGUUCGCCAAUCCCUAGUUACAAUAAUUAUGAUAAAUCAAUAACCGAUUAUUUUACUUUUGGUGCAUGUCAGAAUUCCG